rnacentral:lncRNA from 1 species
CCGUGUGUCGGAAAACCUGGCCCACUCUGUAAAUAAAGGCUCCACUAGAGUCGGAUGAUAUGCUCUUCUCCAGCCUGGGGAGGCAGUGCCAGAGGCAGGCCCUGGAACCAAGCUAAUCCUCUGCAGCAGGCAAGAAGAAAGGCUAGGGGCCAGCACACUCAAGAAGGCAAGCGACUGAAGGCGGGGGAGGGUGGGGAGCAUGCCUUUGGGAUAAACCUAUCUACAGGGAAAAUUGCAUCAGAAGAUGCCACUGUAAACAGUCACACACUAAAGAAACUGAAAAGAGAAAAUGAAGACUGCAAUGAGAUUCUGGCUGAGUUAUUAAAAACGGCAGUAAUAACUGCCAACUGGUCCAGCCAUGAUGAAGUGAUUACUGUCAAGACUAAUAGUAAAAACAAAAAUUGUG